rnacentral:rRNA from 1 species
CCUACGGGCGGCUGCAGUGGGGAAUAUUGCACAAUGGGCGCAAGCCUGAUGCAGCCAUGCCGCGUGUGUGAAGAAGGCCUUCGGGUUGUAAAGCACUUUCAGCGGGGAGGAAGGCGGUGAGGUUAAUAACCUCAUCGAUUGACGUUACCCGCAGAAGAAGCACCGGCUAACUCCGUGCCAGCAGCCGCGGUAAUACGGAGGGUGCAAGCGUUAAUCGGAAUUACUGGGCGUAAAGCGCACGCAGGCGGUCUGUCAAGUCGGAUGUGAAAUCCCCGGGCUCAACCUGGGAACUGCAUUCGAAACUGGCAGGCUAGAGUCUUGUAGAGGGGGGUAGAAUUCCAGGUGUAGCGGUGAAAUGCGUAGAGAUCUGGAGGAAUACCGGUGGCGAAGGCGGCCCCCUGGACAAAGACUGACGCUCAGGUGCGAAAGCGUGGGGAGCAAACAGGAUAAGAUACCCUAGUAGUC